AGUUUCACUCAUACUCUAGAAACGAAAACAUGUUCACAUAGAAACUUGUACACAAAUGUUUACAACAGCAUUAUUCCUAAUAGCCAAAUG